rnacentral:rRNA from 1 species
UACGUAGGUGGCAAGCGUUAUCCGGAAUUAUUGGGCGUAAAGAGCGUGUAGGCGGCCCGGUAAGUCCGCUGUGAAAGUCGGGGGCUCAACCCUCGAAUGCCGGUGGAUACUGUCGGGCUAGAGUGCGGAAGAGGCGAGUGGAAUUCCUGGUGUAGCGGUGAAAUGCGCAGAUAUCAGGAGGAACACCGAUUGCGAAGGCAGCUCGCUGGGACGUAACUGACGCUGAGACGCGAAAGCGUGGGGAGCAAACAGG